rnacentral:rRNA from 1 species
UGCUUAACACAUGCAAGUCGAACGAGAAAGGUCUUUCGGGACCGAGUAAAGUGGCGAACGGGUGAGUAACGCGUGGGAAUCUGCCCUUUGGUGGAGGAUAUCUUUGGGAAACUGGAGUUAAUCCUGCAUAAGUUCUAAGGAAGAAAGACGGCCUCUAGCUGUCGCCGAAGGAUGAGCCCCGCGUCCUAUUAGCUUGUUGGUGGGGUAAAAGCCUACCAAGGUGAUGAUGGGUAGCCGGCCUGAGAGGGUGUACGGCCACAUUGGGACUGAGAUACGGCCCAGACUCC